GUGAAAUCCCGGGGCUCAACCCCGGAACUGCAUUUGAUACUGCCGGACUUGAGUAAUGGAGGGGUAGCUGGAAUUCUCGGUGUAGCAGUGAAAUGCGUGGAUAUCGAGAGGAACACUCGUGGCGAAGGCGAGCUACUGGACAUUUACUGACGCUGAGGCUCGAAGGCCAGGGUAGCGAAAGGGAUUAGAUACCCCUGUAGUCCUGGCAGUAAACGGUGUGCGCUUGGUGUGAGGGGUUUCGACCCCCCUUGUGCCGGAGCUAACGCGUUAAGCGCACCGCCUGGGAAGUACGGUCGCAAGACUAAAACUCAAAGAAAUUGACGGGGACCCGCACAAGCGGUGGAGUAUGUGGCUUAAUUCGAUGCAACGCGAAGAACCUUACCAGGGCUUGACAUGCAUUGCUAAUUCCGUGAAAGCGGAUGAGUCUUCGGACACCUUGCACAGGUGCUGCAUGGCCGUCGUCAGCUCGUGUCGUGAGAUG
rnacentral:rRNA from 1 species